AACGAACGCUGGCGGCAUGCCUAACACAUGCAAGUCGAACGAGACCUUCGGGCCUGGUGGCGCACGGGUGCGUAACGCGUGGGAACCUGCCCUUAGGUUCGGAAUAACUCCCCGAAAGGGGUGCUAAUACCGGAUAAUGUCUUCGGACCAAAGAUUUAUCGCCUUUGGAUGGGCCCGCGUUGGAUUAGCUAGUUGGUAGGGUAAAAGCCUACCAAGGCGAGGAUCCAUAGCUGGUAUGAGAGGAAGAGCAGCGACACUGGGACUGGGCCACGGCCCAGAAUAUUACGGGAGGCGGCAGUGGGGAAUCUUGGAAAAUGGGCGAAAGCAUGAUCCAGCAAUGAUGCGUGAGUGAUGAAGGUCGUAGGGUUGUACAGCUCUUUUACACGGGAUGAUAAUGACAGUACCGGGAGAAUAAGCUCCGGCUAACUCCGUG
rnacentral:rRNA from 1 species